GCCGGGCGUUGUGGCGGGCCCCUGUAGUCCCAGCUACUUGGGAGGCGGAGGCAGGAGACUCGCUUGAGCCCAGGAGUUGGAGGUUGCUGUGAGCAUGAUGCCAUGGCACUCUACCCAGGGGAAUAGCUUGAGGCUCCGUCUCAAAAAAAAAAAAAAAAAGAAGACAGAGUCUCACUAUGUCGCCCUGGAUAGAGUGCUAUAGCAUCAUAGCUCACAGCAAUUUCAAACUGUUGGGCUUAAGCGAUUCUCUUGCC
rnacentral:sRNA from 1 species